rnacentral:rRNA from 1 species
CGUCCAGACUCCUACGGGAGGCAGCAGUGGGGAAUAUUGCACAAUGGGGGAAACCCUGAUGCAGCGACGCCGCGUGAGCGAUGAAGUAUUUCGGUCUGUAAAGCUCUAUCAGCAGGGAAGAAGAUGACGGUACCUGACUAAGAAGCCCCGGCUAACUACGUGCCAGCAGCCGCGGUAAUACGUAGGGGGCGAGCGUUAUCCGGAUUCACUGGGUGUAAAGGGGGCGUAGACGGCCAAGCAAGCCAGGGGUGAAAGCCCGGGGCCCAACCCCGGGACUGCCCUUGGAACUGCAUGGCUGGAGUGCGGGAGGGGCAGGCGGAAUUCCUGGUGUAGCGGUGAAAUGCGUAGAUAUCAGGAGGAACACCGGCGGCGAAGGCGGCCUGCUGGACCGCGACUGACGUUGAGGCUCGAAAGCGUGGGGAGCGAACAGGAUUAGAUACCCCGGUA